rnacentral:rRNA from 3 species
UACGGAGGGUCCGAGCGUUAAUCGGAAUUACUGGGCGUAAAGCGUGCGCAGGCGGUUUGUUAAGCGAGAUGUGAAAGCCCUGGGCUCAACCUAGGAAUAGCAUUUCGAACUGGCGAACUAGAGUCUUGUAGAGGGGGGUAGAAUUCCAGGUGUAGCGGUGAAAUGCGUAGAGAUCUGGAGGAAUACCGGUGGCGAAGGCGGCCCCCUGGACAAAGACUGACGCUCAUGCACGAAAGCGUGGGGAGCAAAC